GACGGAGGAUGCAAGUGUUAUCCGGAAUCACUGGGCGUAAAGCGUCUGUAGGUGGUUUAGUAAGUCAACUGUUAAAUCUUGAAGCUCAACUUCAAAAUCGCAGUCGAAACUACUAGACUAGAGUAUAGUAGGGGUAAAGGGAAUUUCCAGUGGAGCGGUGAAAUGCGUAGAUAUUGGAAAGAACACCGAUGGCGAAGGCACUUUACUGGGCUAUAACUAACACUCAGAGACGAAAGCUAGGGUAGCAAAUGGG
rnacentral:rRNA from 1 species